UUUUAAGGAAUCCUCCAUAAUCUGGUACCGUUGUAGUUCUUCUCCAUAGAAGAAAUCAGAUGGGUGGAAAAAAUUCUCUGUGAUUCUCCGACAAACCAAAGGAGCAACGAAUAUCUGGAUGAUGACAGGAUGAUGUUCUUUGAGAGUCUUAAAUGCAUAAUCCCAAGAAGGUUAAAAUCAACGUGUUAAUUGACAGAGACGUACGUCUGAGGCCUGGCGACCCUACCAUGGGGACCUCAUGUGCCAGGCUUUGGAGAAAGCCAGCAAGCAUGGGCUUUGGCUUGGUGGCAGUCGGGUCACCGAUGAUGGCAAGUUAAUGAGUGUGGGAGAGACAAAACCCACCAGUAUCUGCAGACUUCCAGUUGGAGUGGUAAGU
rnacentral:lncRNA from 1 species